rnacentral:rRNA from 1 species
UAAUACAGAGGGGGCAAGCGUUAUUCGGAAUUAUUGGGCGUAAAGGGCGCGUAGGCGGCCUGGCAAGUGGAAGGUGAAAUCCCUCGGCUUAACCGAGGAGCUGCCCUCCAAACUGCCUGGCUUGAGUCCGGGAGAGGUGAGUGGAAUUCCCAGUGUAGCGGUGAAAUGCGUAGAUAUUGGGAGGAACACCAGUGGCGAAGGCGGCUCACUGGACCGGAACUGACGCUGAGGCGCGAAAGCGUGGGGAGCAAACGGGAUUAGAUACCCCGGUAGUCCACGCCGUAAACGAUGAGUGCUUGGUGUAGCGGGUAUCGACCCCUGCUGUGCCGAAGUCAACACAUUAAGCACUCCGCCUGGGGAGUACGGUCGCAAGGCU